CUGAACAGGGUCUAUGGUCCAGGUCUAGAACAGGGUCUAUGGUCCAGGUCUGAACGGGGCCUCUAUGGUCCAGGUCAGAACAGGGCCUACGGUCCAGGUCUGAACGGGGCCUAUGGUCCAGGUCUGAACAGGGCAUAUGGUCCAGGUCCAGGUCUGAACAGGGCCUAUGGUCCAGGUCUGAACAGGGCCUAUGGUCCAGGUCUGAGGACAUUUACAUGCCAAUACACACACAUAGCUCCGCCCCUAAACUUUAGCCCCGCCUCUUCCAUAACUCAGGACCCGUUAGUCGUAGACGGACUCGUCAUCAUUGCAGUCAGCAGAGUUCCUGUUUCUUUGUGCCUGGCUGCAUGGAUUAUGGGUUUAUUUAGUAACAUGAUGGUGGUGGGAGGGGCUACUCUUUGGUUUACCAUUAUUGAUUAUUGAUUAUAUCUUUAAUGUGAAGUUUCUGUGUAUUUGAACAGCAGGUUCAAACAUUGAUUUGUUUAUUCAUGUAAAGUGUUAAAGAAAUUUUAUUUCACAUCAUCUGUUCACUGUAAUUCAUCAUUAGAAAUGAGAUUAAAGCUUCAACUGGAAAAUUAAAGUGUCUCAUGAAGCA